rnacentral:rRNA from 1 species
CCUGGUGACAAUAGCGGAGGAGAAACACCCGUUCCCAUACCGAACACGGCAGUUAAGCCCUCCUGCGCCGAUGGUACUGCAGAAUUCUGUGGGAGAGUAGGACGUUGCCAGGA